rnacentral:lncRNA from 1 species
UAUUGGAAGCACAAAAACCCAAACUGCAAGUCAAAAGAGCCAGGUGAUAUUGUUGCAGCAUAGCUAAAAGUACCUGACAACCAUGCUCAACAAGAACACCUAAGUAGCAGGAACAGUAAACAAGAGCCGACACCACAUAUUGAUGCAGCACCCCUGUAAAAGAUGCAGUACAUGUAAAUCACGUUCUAUCUAUUAUGCAUUUGAAACGAUGCAUCAGUUCAAAGAUUCUCCACACAUGCACCAUAGUGUGUGCGCAGACGGCACAUGAUCAACUAAUACACCGUUUAACAUCAACCAAACCAAACCUUCUGUCCACCAAUGGACGAGCAACAAGUGUUCAUCUUUCAGAAACAUUACUCUUCCAUAAGCAUAGAGACACUUAAAAAAUAGGAUAAUCCAAGUUAGCAACAACAUAAUCAAUACUCACUGAAACAGAAGUUUUCCAGUAAGAGAGACCUCACAAUCCACAUUUUCCUUCACCAUUUCUCUGUCGUAUUUGGACAAAAGAAAUACGUCCAUUAGACACAGAUGAUUACCUAAAGGUCCAAAAUAAUCCAGCUAUCUUAACCAUAAGAUGGUCACUGCCUAACAGGACAUUAAUCUCAAUUAAAGUCUCCUAUAGUAG